UGGGGAAUAUUGGACAAUGGGCGCAAGCCUGAUCCAGCAAUGCCGCGUGAGUGAUGAAGGCCUUAGGGUUGUAAAGCUCUUUCGCACGCGACGAUGAUGACGGUAGCGUGAGAAGAAGCCCCGGCUAACUUCGUGCCAGCAGCCGCGGUAAUACGAAGGGGGCUAGCGUUGUUCGGAAUUACUGGGCGUAAAGGGCGCGUAGGCGGCCUGUUUAGUCAGAAGUGAAAGCCCCGGGCUCAACCUGGGAAUAGCUUUUGAUACUGGCAGGCUUGAGUUCCGGAGAGGAUGGUGGAAUUCCCAGUGUAGAGGUGAAAUUCGUAGAUAUUGGGAAGAACACCGGUGGCGAAGGCGGCCAUCUGGACGGACACUGACGCUGAGGCGCGAAAGCGUGGGGAGCAAACAGGAUUAGAUACCCUGGUAGUCCACGCCGUAAACGNUGAAUGCUNGACGUCGGGUGCAUNCACUUCGGUGUCGCCGCUAACGCAUUAAGCAUUCCGCCUGGGGAGUACGGCCGCAAGGUUAAAACUCAAAGGAAUUGACGGGGUCAUAGCUGUUUCCU
rnacentral:rRNA from 1 species